ensembl:lncRNA
AUUGGUACUAAGUGGUUGCAUAGCUGUGACUAGGGCUAUGACACUACUAAAUCAAAUGCCAGCUUAUUACAAGACAUAAGGAAUCCAUUAAAGUGGCUCAAGCAUGAAUUUCAGCAUAGAAUUGUGGCUCUGCAGAUGGUGAAGAAUCCUAAGAAUGCAUCAGCAGGUAGCUAUAGCACAGAUGAGAGAAUGGGAGUGGACAGUCUAUGAACAGGAGCAAGAUUGAAGAGUCGCUAACUGCAGCAUUGAUAGGACAUGAGGAAGGCCAUAGGUUUUAAAUCAGAAGAUAACAGGCGAAAGCUAAUGACACUAGAAGUGAGAUUAACUGAGAUUAAUUUCUCCAACUUCCGUUUUGAGCAGAAUUAGAAUGCCUGAAGAAAUAGUAAAGAUGAAAAAAAGUGAAGUUGAGAUACGUUACUGGCAAGGACUGAUGGCUUAAGAAGAGAUGUCACUGAUUCUCACAAGCAAACAAAGGACAAAUGCUGACAGCUACCUUCACUUCAAUUGUUAACAAGCAAUUUCCAUCAGCUUUAGUGUGAAAUGGAUCAGCCAAUAUGAACGCAUAUUGUGAAUGACUCACCCUGUAUCAACUGUCUAUACAUGAGUAAAGCCACAUGUCCCCACACUGCUGAUAGUCUUUAUUAUGGGCUUUCUUUAAGACUCUUGCCAUCGGUUGCUGUUUUUCCACCAAAUCUGAAAGAUCCUUAGAAUGAGUCACAGAAGCAACUGUCCGGGUUUCACUGACUGCAAUCCAUUGGAUGCAGGCAGUUGACUGACAUCGGAGAAAGGGCCAAGAGAACCGGGUUUACUUAUCAUGGACACGAAAAGAUGGAUGGCAACUGUGCAGAAGAUAAAGCCAGGCUUUUCUCAGAGGUGCAUUAAGAGAGAACGAUGCAACAGAUGCAACUGGAAAUUCUGCUGGAAAUACCUGGAUUAGCACUGGAAAAUGUUGUCUGUAGAACCUCCAGUGUAGGGGAUUUUCAAAACUCAGCUGAACAAGGUUGUGAACAACCUGAUCUACAGUUGGAGUUCAUCCUGCUUUGAGCAGGAGGUUGGACUUGGUCUUGGUGGCUUUCAGAGGUCCCAGAGGGAUAUUUAUAAAUAAACAGCAGCAGAAUAACUAACAGAUUAGAAAGAAGAGCUUUUGUUACAGACAACAUCGCUGCAAAUAAUAUUAACUUCACACACUAAUAUAGUGCAAGUUACUUUAAACAAGUAUGACAGUGUCAGACAUACAGGCCCAUUAAAACAUUGGAACUCUUGCUAGUACCAUUUGCUAAUAAUCUUGUACACUGGACUUAUUUCAACUCAUUAGAAGCUUUAUAAGCUCAUUUUUAUAAUAUUUAUAACUAUACUUCAUGGAAAAAAAAAUGGACUACACUUCUGGAAGAAAAAGAUAAUCUGAGAAUUAAUUAAAAAAUAAAUCUUUUUAACUAUUAAAAAAAAAAAAGAAGAAGUUUAACAAAAGCUAAAGAAUGUCUUAAAGAUAAACCUUGAUCAAUCCUUCACUUCAACUGUGUUAGGUCUCUUGACAAUAAUUUGCUUUAGUUCUGAUGAGAGGUCCAUCUAAAAGUGUGUGGGCAAGCUGAGUAGUUUAGAGACACUUCAGAUAUGUUCAGAAAUGUUCAUAACCAAAGCACAGGCUUUCAGGAUACUGUUCUGCCCUGGUAUCUCUGUUUAUUCAUUACAAGUGUGAGUAUGUUACCGAUGAAAUAUAACUAGUUCUGUGCAACACCUUAAACCACUUUUUUUCAUCUUUGCUCAAAUUGUGUCCUCCUGAAAUUUUGAUACAGCGACUUUCUUCUCAUGUGGUAAAAGUUGUAUCAUAUAAUAUUAUCAAUUGCAUUCCCAAAUUGUAACAAAAUGAAUUCUGGAUGUAUUACACGUCCAAUAAAAAG